rnacentral:misc_RNA from 1 species
ACCAGUAUCGGUUGUUUGGAUAAAGGACGAAGAAUUUAUUCGCGGAGAGUGCGGGUUUCGGAUGGGAUCGGAUGUUCAUCAUGACGCCAAGUGCUGCGUCGUAGUUGGUAAUUGAUUGUUGCUCAAUUAGUGCUGCUCUUGAGGACCUGAACAAGAAGUUCGAGCUCUGAUUAUGAGUAAUUUGCAAGGAGUCUGGAACCAUUGGUCGUGGUGUUGUCGUCAGUCGAGAAAUGUCCUUGUGAUCCCUGCGUAGCAGAGUUACUCUGGUUAUUACCGACAAAGCUUAAGGGAUGCUGUAGGAAACACCUCUUGAAUAAAUGUGCAGUCAUAAAGAAGAGAAGAAGCACGUAUAACCAUCGCCCGUAUAGCAAGUGCAGAAGUCAAUUAGCAGAGUGGAAUCGGGAGUAUAAGUCGUUAUAAGCCAGGGAUGAAAUUGAGACAGAUGAAGGUUGAAUCCCGUUGAUUAUUG